AUUGAACGCUGGCGGCAUGCCUUGCACAUGCAAGUCGAACGGUAACAGGUCUUCGGAUGCUGACGAGUGGCGAACGGGUGAGUAAUACAUCGGAACGUGCCCGAUCGUGGGGGAUAACGAAGCGAAAGCUUUGAUAAUACCGCAUAAGAUCUACGGAUGAAAGCAGGGGACCGCAAGGCCUUGCGCGAACGGAGCGGCCGAUGGCAGAUUAGGUAGUUGGUGGGAUAAAAGCUUACCAAGCCGACGAUCUGUAGCUGGUCUGAGAGGACGACCAGCCACACUGGGACUGAGACACGGCCCAGACGCCUACGGGAGGCAGCAGUGGGGAAUCUUGGACAAUGGGCGAAAGCCUGAUCCAGCCAUGCCGCGUGCAGGAUGAAGGCCUUCGGGUUGUAAACUGCUUUUGUACGGAACGAAAAGACUCUUUCUAAUAAAGAGGGUCCAUGACGGUACCGUAAGAAUAAGCACCGGCUAACUACGUGCCAGCAGCCGCAGUAA
rnacentral:rRNA from 1 species